rnacentral:rRNA from 1 species
ACGCUCGACACCUACGGGAGGCAGCAGUGGGGAAUAUUGCACAAUGGGGGAAACCCUGAUGCAGCGACGCCGCGUGAGUGAAGAAGUAAUUCGUUAUGUAAAGCUCUAUCAGCAGGGAAGAAAGUGACGGUACCUGAGUAAGAAGCCCCGGCUAACUACGUGCCACAGCCGCGGUAAUCUGAGCGGGCUGGCAAGGC